AGCGGGGAGGAAGGUGUUGUGGUUAAUAACCACAGCAAUUGACGUUACCCGCAGAAGAAGCACCGGCUAACUCCGUGCCAGCAGCCGCGGUAAUACGGAGGGUGCAAGCGUUAAUCGGAAUUACUGGGCGUAAAGCG
rnacentral:rRNA from 1 species